UUGUUUGGUUGAAACAAGCUUCAGGCUUUUAGAUUACUUGAAAAGCUCUUUUUUGAAACGCUGAUUAAAGUAGCGUUUAAAAAACCUACAAGCUUUUAAGGUUUAAAUUACUUAAAUAACCUACAACCCUCAUCAUCCCAAAUUGAAGAAAGGAUCGAUCGCAAGCAAAAGCCAGGUAUGCAUAUGGAUUCUAAAAAGAGAAAGGGAGAAGAGAUGAAACAUGUUCGCAACGAAACUGCAUGAUGUUCGUAACCAUGACACAAGCACUAGCGGUGUAUUUGAAGGAACGUCGAAUGAGAUGAAACAUGUUCGCAACGAAAUUGUUACUUUGAUAUGGAAUGGACGACAUUAAUGAUUUAAUAGUAUUAUAUUAUGUUAUGACUUUUUGUUAAUAACUAUGUUUUAUUUACCUGUCAAAAAAACUAUGUUUUAUUUAAUUGAA
rnacentral:lncRNA from 1 species